AUUGAACGCUGGCGGCAUGCCUUACACAUGCAAGUCGAACGGCAGCACGGGGGCAACCCUGGUGGCGAGUGGCGAACGGGUGAGUAAUACAUCGGAAUGUACCCAGUAGUGGGGGAUAACUAGUCGAAAGAUUAGCUAAUACCGCAUACGCACUAUAGUGGAAAGCGGGGGAUCGCAAGACCUCGCGCUAUUGGAGCAGCCGAUGUCCGAUUAGGUAGUUGGUGGGGUAAAGGCUCACCAAGCCAACGAUCUGUAGCUGGUCUGAGAGGACGACCAGCCACACUGGAACUGAGACACGGUCCAGACUCCUACGGGAGGCAGCAGUGGGGAAUUUUGGACAAUGGGCGCAAGCCUGAUCCAGCCAUUCCGCGUGCAGGAUGAAGGCCUUCGGUUGUAAACUGCUUUUGUUACGGAACGAAACGGACGAGCUCUAAUACAGUUUGCUAAUGACGGUACCGUAAGAAUAAGCACCGGCUAACUAACGUGCCAGCAGACC
rnacentral:rRNA from 1 species